rnacentral:pre_miRNA from 1 species
AAAGCAGUUUUAGGGCACCUCUUACUUGGCAUGCAAUGGUGAUUUAUUGGUGCAAUAAUCAGCAUUAUAUUGGUUAAUUCGAUAUCAAUCCCACUGAUAUGCCAAAGGAGAGUUGCCCUGUGACUGCUUC